ACCUGGGUGGCUCAGUUGGUUGAGCGUCUGACUUGGGCUCAGGUCAUGAUCUCACGUUGGUGAGUUCAAGCCCCAACUCAGGCU
rnacentral:tRNA from 1 species